AAACUUUCAACAACGGGAUCUCUUGGUUCUGGCAUCGAUGAAGAACGCAGCGAAAUGCGAUAAGUAAUGUGAAUUGCAGAAUUCAGUGAAUCAUCGAAUCUUUGAACGCACAUUGGGCCCGCCAGUAUUCUGGCGGGCAUGCCUGUCCGAGCGUCAUUU
rnacentral:rRNA from 1 species